UAAGCAGGGAUUGUGUGUAUCGGCGUUGUGCUAUUAUAAAUGCGCUUUGCUCGAAAGUGUUCUCUGCGAAAUUAAUUUUGGGGAAAAUGGGCAGUUGUGUUUCUUCUAUUCACUGGAAAUUUUCAACAAUCAUUUUCCCCACAUCU